UUCUUCAGAAAAAUUAAUAAAAAAGAUUAAUUAAUUAGAAGGAAUUCAGCAAGUUUAAUUGCUCCGCCUGUUUAUCAAAAACAUGGCUCUUUGUUUAAUAAAUAUAAAGAGUCGAGCCUGCCCAGUGAAUCUUUUAACGGCCGCGGUACUCUGACCGUGCAAAGGUAGCAUAAUCAUUUGCCUUAUAAUUGAAGGCUAGUAUGAAUGGUUUGACGAGAGCAAUACUGUCUCCUUUUUAUUUUCAAGAACUUAACUUUUAGGUGAAGAGGCCUAAAUUUUAUUGAAGGACAAGAAGACCCUGUCGAGCUUAAAAGAAAUUAUAGAAGUUUAAUAUAUCUUUAGAUAAAUUUCCUAUUAAGCUUUUUAGUUGGGGCGACUGAGGAACAAAAAAAGCUUCUUUCUAAUAAUAAACAAUCACGUUUAGAUCCGAUAGUAGCGAUUAAAGGAAUUAGUUACCGCAGGGAUAACAGCAUAAUCUCUCUUAAGAGACCUAAUCGAAAGAGGGGGGUUGUGACCUCGAUGUUGGACUAGAAUAUCCUAAAGAUG
rnacentral:rRNA from 1 species